ACUUCUGGGCAGUGGAGCCUGCCUGGCGGAAGUGGCUCUCUAGGAGGCGGGCCUUGAGGUCUGUCUACAGCUGAGCCUCUCUUCCCAUCCUGCUGCGCUUCCUGGUCUGCUGAUAUGCAGCGAGCAGUCUCAGGUUCCUGCAGCCAUGUCUUCUCCACUGUGAUGGACUGUGCCCUCAAACAAUGAGAGUUCAAGAUGACUUCGGUAGCAGAUGGAUUCCUCUUUAGGCCUUUUUUUCCCCUUUACUCUUCUUCUUAAAAGAGGAGGAAGGCCACACUAGCAACUAGAAACCUAUGAAGUCUGGGAUCACCAGUACCCUCAGCAUCUGCACAGCCUACCACCAACCACUUCUCUCGCUGUCACCACAUCCCAGACCGCAACUCCAAGCAUUUGAAAUCUGCCUGGAAUUUGGAGAAGAGAGCGGGCGAGCAGAUUCUAAAUAUAAGCAAGGAUGUAUGGACGCACAGAAUGUGACAGAUCAAAUUAGCAGAGUCGAAUCAAUGCGGUGGUAUUCUGGAAGUAGCUGCUAGACAAAGGGAAGUGAAAAACACUAAUGGCGGUGUCAGAAGAAUUCCGUGUGCUCCAAUCAAAAGCUACGAGGGCAGCCAGCCAUUCGUCAGGAAUGUCAGUAUCUCAGCCCAGGUUUCAGCUGGCCAGUCUCCCUUGGCAGCCUACACCCACAGCAUACCCACUUGGGCAAAUUGGGAGGCCAGUGUGCCGAGCCUCAGAGUUUGGAAGCACUUCGGCAACAUGUCCCGUGUACCGUGCUUGGAAGUUCUUGAUAAACACAUCUCCCUCCCCGUGAUUUGUGCGAUGCCGGAGAGCAAGGGCGAUUCUGUUAGUCAUCUUUUUUUCCAGGAUCACAGCCAGCCCCAGAACAGAACAGGUGUUCAGGAAAUUUAUGUUGUUUAACUGGCUUCCUCCUUUUUCUUUUUUAUCCCUAUUUCUUUUCUAACCCUCCUGAAAUCUCACAUUAAAAAUUCCUGCACUUUCAUUUUUAUCUGCAACUCUUACUGAACCAUCACUUGAGAUAUCCAGUCUAAAAACAGUAUAGUUUAAAAAGCACAGCCCAAAUAGUAAUUUAUGCCCAUUUCUUAUGCACAGUGUAUCAUGGAUCUUGAUUUUCUUUCUCCUUUUGCCCUGCAAGCCCCUCAGUAUCAAACAUCCUCAUUUAGACAUUAUUAGUUCACACACAACUGAAACACAACAAUCAGCUCUCCUAUGCUCACAGGCUCAGUGCCUUUAGUCUUAGGGUCCCUCUUCCAUUUCCCCACACCUCACCACCUUUUUCCCCCAUUGUUCUGUUUCCCUAUGUUACUGAAGGGAUAGACCCCUAGAGAAUUUCAUUCUC